AUUGAACGCUGGCGGCAUGCCUAACACAUGCAAGUCGAACGGCAGCACAGCCCGCAAGGGUGGGUGGCGAGUGGCGGACGGGUGAGGAAUACAUGGGAAUCUACCCUGUCGUGGGGGAUAACGUAGGGAUACUUACGCUAAUACCGCAUACGACCGAGAGGUGAAAGCGGCGGACCGCAAGGCGUCGCGCGGCUGGAUGAGCCCAUGUCGGAUUAGCUAGUUGGCGGGGUAAAGGCCCACCAAGGCGACGAUCCGUAGCUGGUCUGAGAGGAUGAUCAGCCACACUGGAACUGAGACACGGUCCAGACUCCUACGGGAGGCAGCAGUGGGGAAUAUUGGACAAUGGGCGCAAGCCUGAUCCAGUAAUGCCGCGUGGGUGAAGAAGGCCUUCGGUUGUAAAGCCUUUUGUACGGGAAGAAAUCCUGUCGGUUAAUACCCGGCGGGGAUGACCGGUACCGGUAAGAAUAAGCACCGGCUAACUUCGUGCC
rnacentral:rRNA from 1 species